rnacentral:tRNA from 1 species
GGAUCUGUAGCUCAGUCGGUUAGAGCAGAGGCCUCUUAAGCCUAAGGUCCUGGGUUCGAGUCCCAGCAGGUCCACCA